GUUUAAAAACCGGUUCUCGUACGAUCACAGAAGUUAAGCAACGUCGAGUCUGGUCAGCACUUAGAUGAGUAAUUUCUUGGGAAUGCAGGUGUUGUAA